rnacentral:tRNA from 1 species
GCAUCGGUGGUAAAAUGGUGGUAGAAUGCUCGCCUGCCACGCGGGAGCCCGGGUUCGAUUCCCGGCCCAUGCA